GCCCUCUUAGCUCAGUGGUAGAGCGCGCCACUCGUAUGGAUACGCCAUGGUGAGGUCGGUUGUUCAAACCAGCCAGCGGGCA